rnacentral:lncRNA from 1 species
GUGGGAUCUGAAAGGAAUGCUGGAAUCUGGGGCAGGGGCUCUGCGAGGGGUGGGACCUAGCAUGUUGGGGCUCAGGAGGCCUGGAGUGCAGAGAGGGACAGAGGACUGGCCUUGUGCAGGGCGUCCCUUGGGGUGGGGGCUACCUCAGGCCUAGAGCUUGGGUGUGGGCCUGGGAGGGGCCACCAGAAGGGGCUGCAAGGUGGGGAAAGUCAGAAGCAGAAGCCCCAAGAGAGAGGCACGGCUGCCCACCCUUCCCCUCCCACCUUGCUCCUGAGAGGGGUGGUGGGAGGUGGCUGAGCCCCCAGAGCUUCCUUUGCUGUCCAUGCUGAGAGGGACCCAGGAGUAGGAGGCUCUGCGGAGGAGCUGAAGUGAGGACAAGGACCUCGGUGACCCAGGCUGAUUUGUGCCUAAUGCAUGCCACAAGGCUUCAGCAGCUCCAACCUUGUGGCAGACGCCAUUGAAGCCCUCAGGAGAGAGCAGCAGGAAAACAAAAGAAAUCUGCACAGUGGUGCAGUGGAGAGUUUUACCAGGCAAAGUUGGUGGAGCCUCACCGGGCUCUUUGUAUCCUGUCUAGGGAAGUAGAAUGAAGCAAGGGGAGCAAGACAGCUGGAAGGAAUUUGCAUUGGGUAGAGUGCUAUGGAGAGGGUAUCUGCACCUAUCAUGGUGGUGCAGGCCUCAGAUUCCAGCACUCUGGGAGCCUGAGGCAGGAACAUUUGACGUGUGAGCCUGAUCUGGGUAACUUCCCAAUUUAGGGAGACCCUGUGUCAAAACAAAACGCUCCCCGCAAGGAAAACUGAGCCAUGUUUUCUCUCACAUUUGUGGAGGCCUCAAGUCCAAGCCCAGCAUCUGGAGCCUGAAAUCCAGGGAAUAUUUCCACCAUCCUCAUUCCUGGAGCGCUUUGGAGGGCCAUUUUGCAGUCUCCCACAACAAUGUCCACCCCAAGGAUCACUCAAGUAUGGAGCACAUUUCCACCACACCAAACUGACGAUGGGCUGCAUCUGCCAUGGGAGGCAGGACGAUGGACCCUGGGGUGUGCCAUGCCCCGACAAAUUGUUCCGUCGGGGUCUGAAGACACGAGGAGUGGAAGGACAGGACCCUGAAGGUGCUGGAUCAAAGGUCGGCAGAGACGAGGUGGUUGCAUUACUCUGAAGGUUACAGGCCCACAGGUAUCCAAGCUGGGGCCUUAAAAGCAAACUUAUUUAUUAUCUCACAGUUCUGGGGGCUGGAAGCCGAGAGUCAAGGCAUCGUUGGAGCUGUCUCCCUCUGAAACCAGGAGCAGAGAUUCUGUCCUCGGCUCUUCCCA